GACGAACGCUGGCGGCGUGCUUAACACAUGCAAGUCGAACGGAAAGGCCCUGCUUUUGUGGGGUGCUCGAGCGGCGAACGGGUGAGUAACACGUGAGUAACCUGCCCUUGACUUUGGGAUAACUUCAGGAAACUGGGGCUAAUACCGGAUAGGAGCUCCUGCUGCAUGGUGGGGGUUGGAAAGUUUCGGCGGUUGGGGAUGGACUCGCGGCUUAUCAGCUUGUUGGUGGGGUAGUGGCUUACCAAGGCUUUGACGGGUAGCCGGCCUGAGAGGGUGACCGGCCACAUUGGGACUGAGAUACGGCCCAGACUCCUACGGGAGGCAGCAGUGGGGAAUAUUGCACAAUGGGCGGAAGCCUAAUGCAGCAACGCCGCGUGCGGGAUGACGGCCUUCGGGUUGUAAACCGCUUUCGCCUGUGACGAAGCGUGAGUGACGGUAAUGGGUAAAGAAGCACCGGCUAACUACGUG
rnacentral:rRNA from 1 species